UGGCGAACGGGUGAGUAACGCGUGAGGAACCUGCCUCAAAGAGGGGGACAACAGUUGGAAACGACUGCUAAUACCGCAUAAGCCCACGGUGCCGCAUGGCACAGAGGGAAAAGGAGCAAUCCGCUUUGAGAUGGCCUCGCGUCCGAUUAGCUAGUUGGUGAGGUAACGGCCCACCAAGGCAACGAUCGGUAGCCGACCUGAGAGGGUGACCGGCCACAUUGGGACUGAGACACGGCCCAAACUCCUACGGGAGGCAGCAUG
rnacentral:rRNA from 1 species